GGGUGCGAUUAUACCGACACAAAUGCACCGGAUCCCAAUAGAACUCCACAGUUAAGCGUGUUUGGAGAGUAGUACUAGGAUGCGUGACCUCCUAGGAAGUCCUUGUGUUGCACCCC
rnacentral:rRNA from 1 species